AAGGCAUUGCUUAUGCACCACAUGUGUUUUUUAUUGAACAAAUUUCUUUGGUGGCGGGAGCAAUCCUACCGCCAGAGGUUAUAACUAAACCAAACUUUUUAUUUACAGUCAAACUUGAUUUAUUAUUACAAUAGUCAAAACUUUCAACAACGGAUCUCUUGGUUCUCGCAUCGAUGAAGAACGCAGCGAAAUGCGAUACGUAAUAUGAAUUGCAGAUAUUCGUGAAUCAUCGAAUCUUUGAACGCACAUUGCGCCCUUUGGUAUUCCAAAGGGCAUGCCUGUUUGAGCGUCAUUUCUCCCUCAAACCCCCGGGUUUGGUGUUGAGCAAUACGCUAGGUUUGUUUGAAAGAAUUUAACGUGGAAACUUAUUUUAAGCGACUUAGGUUUAUCCAAAAACGCUUAUUUUGCUAGUGGCCACCACAAUUUAUUUCAUAACUUUGACCUCAAAUCAGGUAGGACUACCCGCUGAACUUAAGCAUAUCA
rnacentral:rRNA from 1 species